GACGAACCGUGCGAACGUUAUUCGGAAUCACUGGGCUUAAAGCGCGUGUAGGCGGGUGGGUACGUCGGCCACUGAAAGCCCCCGGCUCAACCGGGGAAGGGGUGCCGAAACGGCCGGCCUGGAGGGGCGUAGGGGGACCUGGAACUUCCGGUGGAGCGGUGAAAUGCGUUGAGAUCGGAAGGAACGCCCGUGGCGAAAGCGAGGUCCUGGACGCCAACUGACGCUGAGACGCGAAAGCCAGGGGAGCAAACAGG
rnacentral:rRNA from 1 species